GUUGUCGUGGCCGAGUGGUAAAGGCGAUGGAUUAAAACAACUUUUGAUAUCUUCCCGCGCAGGUUCGAAUAAUGCCGACAUCG
rnacentral:tRNA from 1 species